rnacentral:rRNA from 1 species
CUGAUGCAGCCAUGCCGCGUGAGUGAUGAAGGUCUUCGGAUUGUAAAAUUCUUUCCCGGGGACGAUAAUGACCGGGCCCGUUGAAUAAGCCCCUGAUAGUUUCGUGCCAACAGCCGCCGGCUUACUACGUG